CCUACGCGAGGCAGCAGUGGGGAAUAUUGCACAAUGGGGGAAACCCUGAUGCAGCGACGCCGCGUGAGUGAAGAAGUAUUUCGGUACGUAAAGCUCUAUCAGCAGGGAAGAAAAUGACGGUACCUGACUAAGAAGCCCCGGCUAACUACGUGCAAGCAGCCGCGGUAAUACGUAGGGGGCAAGCGUUAUCCGGAUUUACUGGGUGUAAAGGGAGCGUAGACGGCAGCGCAAGUCUGGAGGGAAAUCCCAGGGCUCAACCCUGGGACUGCUUUUGAAACUGCCGGGCUGGAGUGCAGGAGAGGUAAGCGGAAUUCCUAGUGUAGCGGUGAAAUGCGUAGAUAUUAGGAGGAACACCAGUGGCGAAGGCGGCUUACUGGACUGUAACUGACGUUGAGGCUCGAAAGCGUGGGGAGCAAACAGGAUUAGAUACCCUUGUAGUC
rnacentral:rRNA from 1 species